rnacentral:tRNA from 1 species
AAUAUGUCAGCUAAUUAAGCUAAUGAGUUCAUAUCUCAUAAAUGAAUGA